rnacentral:lncRNA from 1 species
GUGGAAUGAAGUGACUUGCUGAGCCUUCUGGCCUUUAUCUUUCUUCUGUGCUGGAUGCUUCCUGCCCUCGAACAUCAGAUUCCAAGUUCUUCAGCUUUUGGACUCUUGGACCUACACCAGUGAUUUGCGGGGGGCUCUUGGGCCUUCACCACAUACAGAAGGCUGCACUGUCGGCUUCCCUACUUUUGAGGUUUUGGAACUCGGCCUGGUUCCCUCGCUCCUCAGCUUGCAGACGGUCUAUUGUGGGACUUCAUCAUGUGAUUGUGAAGAGGAGAUCAAGACACAGACAAGAUGAGGUUAAGACCAUGUGAAGACAGAGAGAGAAGACUGCAAUCCACAGGCCAAGGAGAGAGGACUCAGAAGAAGCAACCUGGCUAAUACCUUUAUCUCAGACUUCUGGCAUCCAUUAUUAUUAAACAACAGAUUUCAGUUGUUUAAGCCACUAGCCUGUGGUAUUUUG